GACGAACGCUGGCGGCGUGCUUAACACAUGCAAGUCGAACGGAAGGGCCUGCUUUUGUGGGGUGCUCGAGUGGCGAACGGGUGAGUAACACGUGAGUAACCUGCCCUUGACUUUGGGAUAACUUCAGGAAACUGGGGCUAAUACCGGAUAGGAGCUCCUGCUGCAUGGUGGGGGUUGGAAAGUUUCGGCGGUUGGGGAUGGACUCGCGGCUUAUCAGCUUGUUGGUGGGGUAGUGGCUUACCAAGGCUUUGACGGGUAGCCGGCCUGAGAGGGUGACCGGCCACAUUGGGACUGAGAUACGGCCCAGACUCCUACGGGAGGCAGCAGUGGGGAAUAUUGCACAAUGGGCGGAAGCCUGAUGCAGCAACGCCGCGUGCGGGAUGACGGCCUUCGGGUUGUAAACCGCUUUCGCCUGUGACGAAGCGUGAGUGACGGUAAUGGGUAAAGAAGCACCGGCUAACUACGUG
rnacentral:rRNA from 1 species